CAGAUACUCUACUAAGGGUAAAAAUCAUUUACGACUUAGUAGAAAAAGAAAAAGGUCUACUGCGAAAAUAAAUACACUUAUACAAUUAAUCAAAAAAAGGAAAGAAGAUUCAAACACCGAGAAAAAUACCAACCAAUCUACAAGUUCUCUGACCUCAGAAGGUAACAACAAUGUACCUACCUCGCACGCAGAAGGGGAAAGUUCAGUAACAGAAGAUACUACAUAUGAAACAGGGAAUGAAAAUCGCAGGAAUCAAAGACAACUUACUUUAUCUUCAAAGAGAAAAAAACGAGUAGUGAACAUUGGACUCCUGAAUUGGAAUAUUAAAAGGUGCACACUUAAUUUUAACUACAUAUUAUCUACUCGUAUUUACACAGAAUAUU